UACGUCCACAUCACGUUGAAACACCGGUUGCCUUUUGAUUACUAAAGUUAAGCAACAUCGAGCCUGGUCAGUACCUAGAUGGGUGACCACUUGAAAAUAUCAAGUGCCGUAAG